UACAGAGGGGGCAAGCGUUAUUCGGAAUUACUGGGCGUAAAGCGUGCGCAGGCGGUUUUGUAAGCCAGAUGUGAAAUCCCCGGGCUUAACCUGGGAAUGGCAUUUGGGACUGCAAGGCUCGAGUGCGGCAGAGGAGACUGGAAUUCCUGGUGUAGCAGUGAAAUGCGUAGAUAUCAGGAGGAACACCGAUGGCGAAGGCAGGUCUCUGGGCUGACACUGACGCUCAUGCACGAAAGCGUGGGGAGCAAACAGG
rnacentral:rRNA from 1 species